GUGGGGAAUUUUGGACAAUGGGCGAAAGCCUGAUCCAGCCAUGCCGCGUGCAGGAUGAAGGCCUUCGGGUUGUAAACUGCUUUUGUACGGAACGAAAAGACUCCUUCUAAUAAAGGGGGUCCAUGACGGUACCGUAAGAAUAGGCACCGGCUAACUACGUGCCAGCAGCCGCGGUAAUACGUAGGGUGCAAGCGUUAAUCGGAAUUACUGGGCGUAAAGCGUGCGCAGGCGGUUAUAUAAGACAGAUGUGAAAUCCCCGGGCUCAACCUGGGAACUGCAUUUGUGACUGUAUAGCUAGAGUACGGUAGAGGGGGAUGGAAUUCCGCGUGUAGCAGUGAAAUGCGUAGAUAUGCGGAGGAACACCGAUGGCGAAGGCAAUCCCCUGGACCUGUACUGACGCUCAUGCACGAAAGCGUGGGGAGCAAACAGGAUUAGAAACCCGGGUAGUCC
rnacentral:rRNA from 1 species